rnacentral:rRNA from 1 species
GACGAACGCUGGCGGCAUGCCUUACACAUGCAAGUCGAACGGACCUAGCAAUAGGUUAGUGGCGAACGGGUGAGUAAUACAUGAGCAACCUGCCUCAAACAGGGGGAUAACACCGGGAAACUGGUGCUAAUACCGCAUAAGACCACAGCGCGGCAUCGCGCAGGGGUAAAAACGAUUCAGUGGUUUGAGAUGGGCUCAUGUCCCAUUAGCUAGUUGGUGAGAUAACAGCCCACCAAGGCGACGAUGGGUAGCCGACCUGAGAGGGUGAUCGGCCACAUUGGGACUGAGACACGGCCCAGACUCCUACGGGAGGCAGCAGUGGGGAAUAUUGGGCAAUGGGCGAAAGCCUUACCCAGCAAUGACGCGUGAGUGAAGAAGGUCUGCGGAUUGUAAAGCUCUUUGAUCAGGGACGAACACAAUGACGGUACAUGAAGAACAAGCCCCGGCUAACUACGUGCCAGCAGCCGCGGUAAUAC